GACGAACGCUGGCGGCGUGCCUAAUACAUGCAAGUAGAACGCUGAAGCUUGGUGCUUGCACCGAGUGGAUGAGUUGCGAACGGGUGAGUAACGCGUAGGUAACCUGCCUGGUAGCGGGGGAUAACUAUUGGAAACGAUAGCUAAUACCGCAUGAUAUUGAUUAUUGCAUGAUAGUCAAUUAAAAGGUGCAAUUGCAUCACUACCAGAUGGACCUGCGUUGUAUUAGCUAGUUGGUGAGGUAACGGCUCACCAAGGCAACGAUACAUAGCCGACCUGAGAGGGUGAUCGGCCACACUGGGACUGAGACACGGCCCAGACUCCUACGGGAGGCAGCAGUAGGGAAUCUUCGGCAAUGGACGGAAGUCUGACCGAGCAACGCCGCGUGAGUGAAGAAGGUUUUCGGAUCGUAAAGCUCUGUUGUAAGAGAAGAACGAGUGUGAGAGUGGAAAGUUCACACUGUGACGGUAUCUUACCAGAAAGGGACGGCUAACUACGUGCCAGCAGCCGCGGUAAUACGUAGGUCCCGAGCGUUGUCCGGAUUUAUUGGGCGUAAAGCGAGCGCAGGCGGUUAGAUAAGUCUGAAGUUAAAGGCUGUGGCUUAACCAUAGUACGCUUUGGAAACUGUUUAACUUGAGUGCAAGAGGGGAGAGUGGAAUUCCAUGUGUAGCGGUGAAAUGCGUAGAUAUAUGGAGGAACACCGGUGGCGAAAGCGGCUCUCUGGCUUGUAACUGACGCUGAGGCUCGAAAGCGUGGGGAGCAAACAGG
rnacentral:rRNA from 1 species